UCUCCGUUUCACAGAGCAGUCUGUCUCGAGUGCUUCCGACUCUCGCCGGAGUUGCAACAAGACACAGGGGUUGCGCUCGUUACCGGACUUAACCGAACACCUCACGGCACGAGCUGACGACAGCCAUGCAGCACCUGUGUACGCUGGUAUUGCUACCUCGUUAUGCUUUCACACUCCUACUACGUACAUGUCAAGGCCAGGUAAGGUUCUUCGCGUUGCAUCGAAUUAAGCCACAUGCUCCACCGCUUGUGCGGGCCCCCGUCAAUUUCUUUGAGUUUUAAUCUUGCGACCGUACUUCCCAGGCGGUGUAUUUAACGCGUUAGCUCCGAGACAAAAGGGGUCGAAUCCAUUUAUCUCAAAUACACACCGUUUACGGCUAGGACUA
rnacentral:misc_RNA from 1 species